rnacentral:rRNA from 1 species
UGCGUAGGCGGGUUUCUAAGUCAGAGGUGAAAGCCUGGAGCUCAACUCCAGAACUGCCUUUGAUACUGGCGGUCUUGAGUUCGGGAGAGGUGAGUGGAACUGCUAGUGUAGAGGUGAAAUUCGUAGAUAUUAGCAAGAACACCAGUGGCGAAGGCGGCUCACUGGCCCGAUACUGACGCUGAGGUACGAAAGCGUGGGAGCAAACA